UAUAGUGCUAUGCUGGACAUCUCGCAGUCAAUUCGUUUUGAUGAUGAUGUGGAGGAUGGAAAAAGUCAUGAACUCAAAGUGUACUCUCUGGACCGUAUAAGAGCUGUUACAAUUAAUUUUAGUGACUCUAACAAGCUUGGAGAAGGAGGAUUUGGUCCUGUCUAUAUGGGAACUUUACCUGGGGGAGAAGUAGCUGUGAAGAGGCUUUGUAGGAAUUCAGGUCAAGGCCUUGAAGAAUUCAAGAAUGAGGUCAUACUUAUUGCAAAGUUCUAGCACCGCAAUCUUGUAAGAUUACUAGGGUGCUGCAUACAGAGGGAAGAGAAGAUCCAGGUGUAUGAGUACAUGCCUAGCAAAAGUCUAGAUGCAUUCCUCUUCAAUCCUGAAAAGCAACGGCUUUUAGACUGAAGAAACAGUUUGAUAUAAUCGAAGGCAUUGCUAGAGGGCUGCUAUAUCUCCACCGGGAUUCGAGGCUGCGAGUUGUUCACCGUGAUCUCAAGGCCAGCAACAUUCUCUUGGACGCGGACAUGAAACCCAAGAUAUCAGAUUUUGGAAUGGCAAGGAUGUUUGGAGGGGACCAAAACCAAUUCAACACGAAUCGGGUCGUCGGUAUAUUUGGCUACAUGUCUACUGAAUACGCAAUGGAAGGUAUUUUCUCCGUCAAGUCUGACGUCUAUGGCUUCGGAGUCCUGAUCUUAAGCUUCCACUGUCACGAGGACUCCUUGAACAUCGCUGGAUAUGUAAACACUGGUGGUUACUAAGAUAAUUAGAGACAAGGGGGCAGGUUGAUGUGCUUGCAAGUAUCUG